AAACGACUCUCGGCAACGGAUAUCCCGGCUCUCGCAUCGAUGAAGAACGUAGCGAAAUGCGAUACUUGGUGUGAAUUGCAGAAUCCCGUGAAUCAUCGAGUCUUUGAACGCAAGUGGCGCCCGAAGCCUCGGCUAAGGGCACGUCUGCCUGGGUGUCACGU
rnacentral:rRNA from 1 species